GCUCGUCAACAAAAGUGGGGAUCAUUUUGAAAAUUCGUCAUUUGGAUUCCAGCAACUUAUAGGUCUACCAUCUCUUAUGAAGGACAUUUCAGUGACCUAAUGCGAUAUGAACAGAUAAGAGUGCGCAACUCAACCGCCGGGUAGAGGUCUCUAUGUAUUUCAUCUUUUUGCAUAACUCAACGCAGUCUCCUGCAGCUUAUGAAUUGACCAACUUAUUGUCACCUUUUACCUAUAAUCAUGUCUUUACAACAAAUUACUGAGAAAGAUAAUGAAGAUAAUUCGUUUUCUUAUGAUAUGCCCACAGGAAUCGUAUGGGGUGACAUUGACUUGGACGAAGACUGUGGCUGAUUUGGACCUCGCCCUGUUAGAAACGAAUUGUAAUUGCCUAUAUGUCUUGUCUAGACUGGAAGGCGAAUGCAAUCUGGAUUUAUUAGCUGCGGCCGCUGGUGAUAUACCCACAUUGGACGGAAUUGAAGUAGGGGUUGUUUUUCCUCCCCCAAACCCAUCCAUAACUCCAAAGAAUUCCUUGUUGUUGUGAAAAAUCCCGAAAGGGUGCCUGGCAUGGUGGAUUCUGGGAUGGUCAUAACGAUCUACAAUGGCGUGACAUCAGAGGUUUUUUAUGUUCCUACGACGGAACCAGAACCUAAUAGCUUAUUUUGGAUUGCUGGUUCCCUAAAUAGUGAAACAGCUCAAUUUACUCCUAAGCCUGUGUCCGAGAGCCUGAUUGGUAGCGAUUUGAGCCCCUUUGGCGAGUGCCAAACCUUGGUGGAAGAGGGCUUUGUUAAAUAGAUGUAAUCCUCUGACAAAACUUAUCUUCUAUUUAUGUUCAUGACAUAUUGGAACUGAAAACUGUGUCCCUCGCUUGCAGAUUUUGGGUCUGAUUUAGAUUAAUCUCUUUGCUUUGCAUUGUAAAUAAUAAAACUGGACUUGUAAAAGUGUCAUUUCUUCA